rnacentral:rRNA from 1 species
UACGGGGGGGGGAAGCGUUGUUCGGAAUUACUGGGCGUAAAGGGCUCGUAGGCGGCCAACUAAGUCGGACGUGAAAUCCCUGGGCUCAACCCAGGAACUGCGUCCGAUACUGGUUGGCUUGAAUCCGGGAGAGGGAUGUGGAAUUCCAGGUGUAGCGGUGAAAUGCGUAGAUAUCUGGAGGAACACCGGUGGCGAAGGCGACAUCCUGGACCGGUAUUGACGCUGAGGCGCGAAAGCCAGGGGAGCAAACGGG